AGUAAGGUCAGCUAAUUAAGCUAUCGGGCCCAUACCCCGAAAAUGUAGGUUCCCAACCUUCCCAUACUA
rnacentral:tRNA from 2 species